AAAUUUGAAAUCUGGCGUGCUCAGUGCGUCCGAGUUGUAAUCUAUAGAGUCGUUUUCCGUGCCGGACUGUGUCCAAGUCCCUUGGAACAGGGUAUCAAAGAGGGUGAUAAUCCCGUACUUGACACAAUGACCGGUGCUCUGUGAUACGUCUUCUACGAGUCGAGUUGUUUGGGAAUGCAGCUCAAAAUGGGUGGUGAGUUCCAUCUAAAGCUAAAUAUUGGCGAGAGACCGAUAGCGAACAAGUACCGUGAGGGAAAGAUGAAAAGCACUUUGGAAAGAGAGUUAAACAGUACGUGAAAUUGUUAAAAGGGAAACGAUUGAAGUCAGUCGUGACUGAGAGGCUCAGCCGGUUCUGCCGGUGUAUUCCCCUCAGUCGGGUCAACAUCAGUUUUGUUCGGUGGAUAAGGGCAGUUGGAAGGUGGCACCCUCGGGUGUGUUAUAGCCAGCUGUCGCAUACAUCGGAUGAGACUGAGGAAUGCAGCUCGCCUUUAUGGCCGGGGUUCGCCCACGUUCGAGCUUAGGAUGUUGACAUAAUGGCUUUAAACGACCCG
rnacentral:rRNA from 1 species